UAUAAAAUUUUCGAUUUUUUUCAAAUCUUCUAUUUUUAAAAAAAAUACAUUUGUUCAAAUAUUUUUAGUAGUUUGGUUGUAUAUAUACCUUUUGUAUUUAUGUGACAAUGCAGAAAGUGAAUAAUAUGCUCACUGAAGUUAAUCAACCACCAAAAUCACAUUGUUCUACUAUCAACAAGAUGGUUGUCUACAUUAUGAACUUCUUCUCGUGUUCUGUUAUUUUGGAUUAGGUUUUUCAAAGAAUGUUGGUGUGCUGUAUUACACCUAAAACUGUUCAACCUCAUUCGUUUGAAAGUAAUUGCAAUCAUCAGCGCAAGUGUAUCACACCAAUGACCUCACAACUAUUUGAUGUCCAAGUCGUCAUAUUUUGCUUUUCUCUAAUGCUUGUCAUUUGCUACAACAGUCACGCGAGUGCAACUGAAGACUACACAGAUCGUAUGCAGCCUUUAUACUCGUCUUAACCAUCACGUGAGCAUUAAUCCAUCAGGUAAUCUAGAAGUCGCAUUACGUUCUAUGCUGGGGCAUAUACGAUGCACAUGGCGACAUGCCUAAUCUUAUAAUGAAAAAGAACGCAUUACGUUCCAUGCUGGGACAUAUACGAUUCACAUGCAGACUUGCCUAAUUUUAUAAUGGAAAGAAAACGCAUUACGUUCUAUGCUGGGACAUAUACGAUUGACAUGCAGAAUGUUAUAGAACAAUCUUGUGGAGCAGGUUGCUACUUCGUGAAAACGUCAGCGGAACAAUGUUUGUAUUAAUUUUUUAUGUAUUAAUGCAUUAUUCGAAACAAUA